CGCGAAUAGCUCAUUACAACAGCCACUGUUUACUUGAUCUUGAUUAUCCUACUUGGAUAACUGUGGUAAUUCUAGAGCUAAUACAUGCAACCAAGCUCCGACCGUAAGGGACGAGCGCAUUUAUUAGAACAAAACCAAUCGGGCUUCGGCCUGAGGUUUGGUGAAUCUGAAUAACUGAGCUGAUCGCAUGGUCUUUGUACCGGCGACGCAUCUUUCAAGUGUCUGCCUUAUCAACUUUCGAUGGUAGUUUAUCGGACUACCAUGGUUGUGACGGGUAACGGAGGAUAAGGGUUCGACUCCGGAGAAGGGGCCUGAGAAAUGGCCACUACGUCUAAGGAUGGCAGCAGGCGCGCAAAUUACCCACUCUCAGCACAUUGAGGAGGUAGUGACGAGAAAUAACGAGACCGUUCCCUUUGAGGCCGGUCAUCGGAAUGGGUACAAUCUAAACCCUUUAACGAGUAUCUAUGAGAGGGCAAGUCUGGUGCCAGCAGCCGCGGUAAUUCCAGCU
rnacentral:rRNA from 1 species